rnacentral:rRNA from 1 species
AGAACGAACGCUGGCGGCAUGCCUAACACAUGCAAGUCGAACGCUUCCGGGGCUUCGGUCGCGGAGGAGUGGCGCACGGGUGAGUAGCGCGUGGGAACCUGCCCUGUUGUGGGGGAUAACCGAGGGAAACUUCGGCUAAUACCGCAUACGCCCCGGGACUUGGUCUUCGGAUUAGGUCUGGGGGGAAAGAUUGAUCGCAGCAGGAGGGGCCCGCGUCGGAUUAGCUGGUUGGUGGGGUAACGGCUCACCAAGGCGAUGAUCCGUAGCUGGUCUGAGAGGAUGAUCAGCCACACUGGGACUGAGACACGGCCCAGACUCCUACGGGAGGCAGCAGUGGGGAAUAUUGGACAAUGGGGGCAACCCUGAUCCAGCAAUGCCGCGUGAGUGAUGAAGGCCUUAGGGUUGUAAAGCUCUUUCGCCCGCGACGAUGAUGACGGUAGCGGGAGAAGAAGCCCCGGCUAACUUCGCGCCAGCAGCCGCGGU